GAUGAACGCUAGCGGUAGGCCUAACACAUGCAAGCCGAGCGGUAUUGUUUCUUCGGAAAUGAGAGAGCGGCGUACGGGUGCGUAACACGUGUGCAACCUGCCUUUAUCUGGGGGAUAGCCUUUCGAAAGGAAGAUUAAUACUCCAUAAUAUAUUGAACGGCAUCGUUUAAUAUUGAAAGCUCCGGCGGAUAGAGAUGGGCACGCGCAAGAUUAGCUAGUUGGUGAGGUAACGGCUCACCAAGGCGAUGAUCUUUAGGGGGCCUGAGAGGGUGAUCCCCCACACUGGUACUGAGACACGGACCAGACUCCUACGGGAGGCAGCAGUGAGGAAUAUUGGUCAAUGGGUGCAAGCCUGAACCAGCCAUCCCGUGUGAAGGACGACUGCCCUAUGGGUUGUAAACUUCUUUUGUAUAGGGAUAAACCUACCCUCGAGAGGGUAGCUGAGGGUACUAUACGAAUAAGCACCGGCUAACUCCGUG
rnacentral:rRNA from 1 species